rnacentral:rRNA from 1 species
AUGCGGCCCGCGACUGCAAGGCCGACAAAGGCUUGCGGAAAGCAACGCAGCCCAACAAGUCCACAGAAAAAGAAAACGCGGCCCAACAAGCCGAGAGAACAGCACAGGCCCCCUCUCCCUCUCUCCCCCUGGUCGCCGUGUCGCUCGCAUCUCCGCACGCACCGCCGUCGCCGCCGGUGCUCCCUUCUCCCCCCACACCCCCGCCGACGGCUGUCUGCUACUCCGGUCAUCUCGCCCCGCCGAGGAAGGAAGGACAUGGCUCUGCGGGCGGCCGCCGCGAGGCUGGCGUCCUCCAGCCUCCGCCGCCGCCACGGCCACCUCCUCCCGGCGGCCGGCACCGCCAGCCACGCGGCCUUCCUCCACGCCCACGCCACCAGCUUCGGAUUCAAGCAGGUGCGCGAGGACGAGAAGAGCAAGCUGGUCGGCAACGUCUUCAGCAGCGUCGCCUCCAGCUACGACGUCAUGAAUGACCUCAUGAGCGCUGGCCUGCACAGGCUCUGGAAGGACAGGCUGAUCUCAAAGCUGAAUCCUUUUCCUGGGAUGAAGCACCUCGACGUGGCCGGUGGGACAGGGGAUGUUGCAUUCCGUGUGGUGGAAAGAAUUAAGAGUGUGAGCCACAGAGCUACGCAGGGUACUCUUACUGAUAUGGAAGAAGACACUCACAUUUAUGUUUGCGACAUUAAUCCAAAUAUGCUAGAAGUUGGAAAGAAGCGUGCUGCUGAAAAAGGCUACAAUGAAGAGCAGUGCCUUAGUUGGGUACAGGGAGAUGCAGAAGCUCUUUCUUUUGAGGAUGGGUCUAUGGAUGGCUAUACUAUUGCAUUCGGGAUCAGAAAUGUUACACACAUUGAGAAAGCUCUAUCGGAAGCUUACAGAAUUCUAAAGAAAGGAGGAAGGUUCCUGUGCUUGGAGUUGAGCCAUGUGGAUGUUCCAAUUUUUAAAGACAUUUACGACGUCUAUUCGUUUUCUGUGAUUCCGGCUGUGGGAGAGCUAGUUGCUGGUGAUAGGCAGUCGUACCAAUACUUGGUCGAGAGCAUUCGUCGGUUUCCAAAACAGGAAAAGUUUGCUCAGAUGAUCCAGGAAGCUGGAUUUGAGGCGGUCGAAUAUGAAAAUCUGGUGGGUGGUGUAGUUGCCAUCCACUCUGGAGUGAAACUGUAG